CCUACGGGUGGCAGCAGUGAGGAAUAUUGGACAAUGGGCGAAAGCCUGAUCCAGCCAUGCCGCGUGUGUGAAGAAGGCCUUCGGGUUGUAAAGCACUUUCAGUGGGGAAGAAAGCCUUGGGGCUAAUACCCUCGAGGAAGGACAUCACCCACAGAAGAAGCACCGGCUAACUCCGUGCCAGCAGCCGCGGUAAUACGGAGGGUGCGAGCGUUAAUCGGAAUUACUGGGCGUAAAGCGCGCGUAGGCGGUCUGAUAAGCCGGUUGUGAAAGCCCCGGGCUCAACCUGGGAACGGCAUCCGGAACUGUCAGGCUAGAGUGCAGGAGAGGAAGGUAGAAUUCCCGGUGUAGCGGUGAAAUGCGUAGAGAUCGGGAGGAAUACCAGUGGCGAAGGCAGCCUACUGGACUGACACUGACGCUGAGGUGCGAAAGCGUGGGUAGCAAACAGGAUUAGAUACCCGAGUAGUC
rnacentral:rRNA from 1 species